AUGUGGUACAUGCAGUCCAUUCUGAGGAGUGCAGAUUGAAAAAGUUCCUGGAAAUUAUUGUAUUUCUCUCAUCGAUUUUGGCACCACCACCGCCGCAGGGAUACAUGAGGGGAAGAAAAAGAUGUACCUGAUGCAGAAGGUGACGUGGUACAACAGAAUGCUGACAUCAUUGCAAGCCCUCAUCAUCGGCCUCUCCGGUCUAGAAUGUCGCCUUGACAUCAUCGCCAGCGACCCAGUGUUGGUGCCUGUCAACUCGCUUUGUGCAUGCAGGAAGGGAGUGGCGGAUCACGCAGCAGGGCGAGCCACCACUGGCGGACGGCCGGAACGACAUGCAUGACUCUAGGCUAAGAAUUGCUCACUUGUGCAAAAUUCUGGGUAUAGCAUAACUGAGCAAUUUUGAACACCAUGGCAUCAAGAUGCAGAGCAGGAUCACAGUACAGUGAUGAUUGCCGAUUUGGUUGGGUGAGCAGGCGAGAAAGCAUGCAACAACAAUCUGUGGAGGAGAUGGUCAAGUAUUGGAAGAGGUCUGGCCAUGGACGGAAUGAAGAAAAAAUGGAUCUGAAGGAGAGAAGGCAAGAGACGAGCUAAAGCCAGGAAGAUAAGCUUCUGCAUGUAAGCUUGUGCGUGUAUUGGUAUGGUAGUCUGAGCUGGCCCAACAAUGUACUUCUUUAAUACAAUAAAACAAGACUUGGGUCAUGUCGAUGCCUGCCUAUAAUAUUAUUUCUUUUGUCGUUCUACUAUCA